rnacentral:rRNA from 1 species
UGGGGAAUAUUGCACAAUGGGCGAAAGCCUGAUGCAGCGACGCCGCGUGCGGGAUGAAGGCCUUCGGGUUGUAAACCGCUUUUGAUUGGGAGCAAGCGAGAGUGAGUGUACCUUUCGAAUAAGCACCGGCUAACUACGUGCCAGCAGCCGCGGUAAUACGUAGGGUGCAAGCGUUAUCCGGAAUUAUUGGGCGUAAAGAGCUCGUAGGCGGUUUGUCGCGUCUGGUGUGAAAGUCCAUCGCUUAACGGUGGAUCUGCGCCGGGUACGGGCAGGCUAGAGUGCGACAGGGGAGACUGGAAUUCCCGGUGUAACGGUGGAAUGUGUAGAUAUCGGGAAGAACACCAAUGGCGAAGGCAGGUCUCUGGGUCGUCACUGACGCUGAGGAGCGAAAGCGUGGGGAGCGAACAGGAUUAGAUACCCUGGUAGUCCACGCCGUAAACGGUGGAUGCUGGAUGUGGGGCCC